GAUGAACGCUAGCGGCAGGCUUAAUACAUGCAAGUCGAGGGGUAGCAAGAUUGUAGCAAUACAAUUGUUGACGACCGGCAAACGGGUGCGGAACACGUACACAACCUUCCUACAAGUGGGGAAUAGCCCAGAGAAAUUUGGAUUAAUACCCCAUAACAUAGCGAUGUGGCAUCACAUUGCUAUUAUAGCUUCGGCGCUUGUUGAUGGGUGUGCGGCUGAUUAGAUAGUUGGCGGGGUAACGGCCCACCAAGUCUACGAUCAGUAGCUGAUGUGAGAGCAUGAUCAGCCACACGGGCACUGAGACACGGGCCCGACUCCUACGGGAGGCAGCAGUAAGGAAUAUUGGACAAUGGACGCAAGUCUGAUCCAGCCAUGCCGCGUGAAGGAUUAAGGUCCCCUGGAUUGUAAACUUCUUUUAUAAGGGACGAAAAAAGGUCUUUCUAGAUCGUCUGACGGUACCUUGUGAAUAAGCACCGGCUAACUCCGUGCCAGCCGCCGCGGUAACAC
rnacentral:rRNA from 1 species